rnacentral:rRNA from 1 species
AACGAACGCUGGCGGCAUGCCUAACACAUGCAAGUCGAACGAAGCCUUCGGGCUUAGUGGCGCACGGGUGCGUAACGCGUGGGAAUCUGCCUUCAGGUACGGAAUAACUCAGGGAAACUUGUGCUAAUACCGUAUGAUGACUUCGGUCCAAAGAUUUAUCGCCUGAAGAUGAGCCCGCGUAGGAUUAGCCAGUUGGUGGGGUAAAGGCCUACCAAGGCGACGAUCCUUAGCUGGUCUGAGAGGAUGAUCAGCCACACUGGGACUGAGACACGGCCCAGACUCCUACGGGAGGCAGCAGUGGGGAAUAUUGGACAAUGGGCGAAAGCUUGAUCCAGCAAUGCCGCGUGAGUGAAGAAGGCCUUCGGGUUGUAAAGCUCUUUUACCCGGGAUGAUAAUGACCGUACCGGGAGAAUAAGCCCCGGCUAACUCCGUGCCAGCCGCCGCUGUAAAAC